GCAUUGGUGGUAUAGUGGUGAGCAUAACUGCCUUUCAAGCAGAUUAUCUGGGUUCGAUUCCCAGCCAAUGCA